CUAAUCUCCUAUCAGAGCCCUCACGCACGGAAGGAAGCCAGGCGCUCGGCCUUUCCUCUGCUCGCCUCGCGAAGGGUGACGCUCGGCCCGUUCCUCGACUCGAUCGGCGGCGCGUUCCCAAGCGGCCGCUCUCCCUAGUGGCGCGCUCCCGCGGCGGUGGUCGCCUCCUACGUCCUCCCCUCUACAGUGCGUCUUUUGUUGUUCUGAACCCUAGGGUUUUCCUCUUUGUCUCUCACAGUGCUGAGCAAUCGAUCCAAAAUUGAGCUCAAUGGAUCCUGCUGAAGUUUUCGAGGGUGAACGGAUCAAGGCUUUCCUCAACUACAAAGGAUAUAUAGUGCACCUAGCUAGCUAGUUACCGAGAAAGUGACCUUUUCGCAAGGUGUGCAAGUCAUGGGACGAGAAUUUGUGCUUGGCAAACUUCCGGAGGAUAUUUUUGAUCGCUUAUAUUCCCUUGUGCCACUGGAAGAUGCUGCGCGAGCUGCCUGCGUAUCUCGUGGAUUUCUACAUUCCUGGAGACGCUAUCCCGGCUUGUAUUCAAUUACAAAACACUAGGUCUUGACAGGUUUUGGAAGACUGAGAGAGAAGACACAUUGGUUUUGACAGAGCGAGAUAGAGAAUACAAAAUAGAAAGCUAUCUUGUCUACAAAAUCGACCAUGUUCUCAAAAAACGUUCUGACAUUGGGGUGGUGAAAGCAUUCAUACUUCACUUGCACCCUUGUCCCAAUAUUGAGGCCUCUUAUAUUGAUAAAUGGCUUCAGUUUGCUCUUAAACCUGGCAUUGAAGAGCUCGAGCUCCAGAUGUCUUUAUUGGAGAAGAGGGCUGAAUACAACUUCCCGUGCUCGCUUUUAUCAAACGAGACAGGAGGGUCACUGCAAUCUCUUCGCCUUUCUUCAUGUGCUUUUCAUCCUAGAACAGCUCUUGGCUGCCACAAGAGCUUGACAAGCUUGGAUCUAUCCUUCGUGCACAUCACUGGAAAGGAGCUGGGGCAUCUUGUUUCCAACUGUCACGCUUUGGCGAAGUUGUUCCUUUAUGGAUGCAAUGGUAUAAUUUACUUCAGGGUACCAGGCGUGUUGUGGCACCUUAAUCACUUUCAUGUGAUAGAAUGUAAAAAAUUACGAGUAAUAGAGAUCAAUGCUCCAAAGCUCUGUAGUUUUGCCUGUGGGGAGAACCUACACAGAUCUCUCUUGGAGCGACAGAGGUCAAAGACAUUACUAUGAGGAGUAGUCAGCCAAACACGAUUUGUUAUGCUCGUACUAACCUUCUUUUAUGCCAGCAGUUGAAAGAGUUACCGUGGAAUCACUUGGCGAGGUAUGUGUUAUGUUUUAUAUGCCAUUGCCUUUUAUUCUUUGAAAAUGCACCGUUUAUAGGCCAUACCACAGAUCUCUCUUGGAGCGACAGAGGUCAAAGAUAUUACUAUGAGGAGUAGUCAGCCAAACACGAUUUGUUAUGCUCGUACUAACCUUAUUUUAUGCCAGCAGUUGAAAGAGUUACCAUGGAAUCACUUGGCGAGAAGGUAAAGACACCAAUGAUGUCCAGCAAGUUCCUCCACCUCAAAUACUUGGAUAUUUAUCUUGUGAAUGUUGUACAGCACUACCUCUCUGAUUACUCUUGUUUGGUGUCUUUCCUGGAGGCAUCUCCUGCCUUGGAGACUUUCAUCUUACGUAUACAAACUGACGAUAUGCUGGUACAUGAUUCAGUCUUUGGUGACCUUGAUGGGGGGGG